AUUAUCCAGGGGAGUUGGAAAGACAACCUCUCCUUGAGGAACCAAACUAAGGGAAAAGCCCAUUUUGCUGGGUGCUAAGGCAGGGAGAGAGGAGGUGGUGGGAACCAACAGUGCGCCUGCCCAGUGCUUGAGGAGUGACAGUCUGUGGAAGGACACACACUGGACAGUCACACCCUGCGAGGACAGAUACGGAAGUGUAGUCUGACAUGAAUGGAAAACUACUCUCGGUGCUGUCUGAUGGAUGUUGAUAAGACCAAUGAGGCAAUCCAAGGUAAGCCAAAGGUCUGUGUGUCCAGAUGAGGUGAGGGGAGGUGCCCCACACAAGCUCAUGGUAGUGCAGGACUUGAGGGGAAGCCUGGCCAACAGGAAGAGUCAUUCUUGUCCAUUUCACAACUCGACCAUGGGUAUAAAGGGUCUGGGUGGGGAUGGCCCUGAAGAAGCCUGAAUUUCCUCUGCUUUGGAGCAAAAGUGGGCUCUUUCCUUUGAAUUCUAAGGCUAAAAAAAAAAAGACCUUAACCACACCAUUCAAAGUAUUUCACCUCGUAGAAUAAAUGCGUCUGGUUGAACCAUGUGAAAUUGUCACUUAACUGUGACCUUAAAAACUUCAUAUCACUCAAACUAACGUUCCUGUUGAGUGUUGUUGUUUAAUCAUAUUGGUAUUAUUGAUUUAUAUAUUGUAUCAAUGAAAGAAAUAGAAACCGGUAAAUGUAAAUACAUCAGUUAAUGAUAUUUCUGACUCAAGAGAAUGAUCCCAUCAGUUGUUAUCUCAAGUCAGACAAAGCCCUGUAAAGAGCCUAAAAUUCAACUGAAUAUAAUUUUAAGUACCUUUAAGCAUUGCAUGGUCCUAAAAAUAUAAAAGAAUGCACGAAUUCAUCAAGUUCCAAGAUCUUUAAAAUGACAUUUCUGGGGCCGGCUCCGUGGCUGAGUGGUUAAGUUCGCGUGCUCCGCUGCGGCAGCCCAGGGUUCGGAUCCUGGGCACGGACAUGGCACCACUCAUCAGGCCACGUUGAGGCGGCAUCCCACAUCCCACAACUGGAAGGACCUGCAACUAAGAUAUACAACUGUGUACGGGCGGGUUUGGGGAGAUAAAGUAGAAAAAAAAAAAAGAUUGGCAAUGGUUGUUAGCCCAGGGGCCAAUCCUUAAAAAGAAAAGAAAAAAGGAAGAUUGGCAACAGUUGUUAGCCCAGGUGCCAAUCUUUAAAAAAAAAAACGACAUUUCUUAGGAUCCCAUCAACUUCAAAGGUGUAGAGAGUGAGAAGGAGAAUAUGUUUAUGGUCUUAGGGACUUACUCACCUGAGUGGAAGCUGCAGGCUCCUACCGGUAGAUAAAAGGAACAGGUCAUGUGUUUAAUUUGAGUCCAGUUGAGGAGGUGAUCCCUCCCCUCUUGAACUUAAGGGACCAUUGACAAAACAACUGUAAAUAGACUAAGCGCCCCACCUUGGAGACACAAAUGAGAAUCCAGGCAGCUUCCCAUGUAAAUCUCUCUUAGUAGAUAUUAUCAGUUGCAACAAAACAGGCUGCAAGUGGCCUGAGACCCUUCCAGUUAUGAUGAUGAACAUGUGGGCACAUUUCAAAGGACUCUAGAGCUAAUCCCAGGAGGUUUCAGUUCUCUUUCAGCUGUUGCUUCCAACACCUGGAGGGCACUUGCUGUCAUCACCGAUGAUCACUUCUAUUCCAAGUCCUUUCUGUGCAAAAGGGUGGGCUGCCAGGCCAACAUUGCACUCUCACCAACUAGCCAUACUGGACAGGAGACUGUGGCUACAAAGAUUCUGGAGGAAGACCACCUCGGCCCCAGUGGUGUGUGUCCUAUGAAAUUCUCUUGACCAUGCUCCAGGAUACACGCAUCUUGUUGCAAGUCAGCCCUACACUCCUUCCAGAGACCCUUGGAUAACAAGCCACAACCACAUCCAAAUUGCCUUGAAAACUAGAUGAUAUGAGUAUUCCAAAAUAUUCAAAAACCAAACAAUCUGGCCCUUGUUAUAAAUAGACUUUAUUAUUCUCCAGUUGGGGAGGUAAACUGACAUAAAUGCCACCAUUAAGAGGUUGACAAACUGUACUAAAAAUGUACUAUGUACUUUGAACAUUUUUUUGUAAUCUGUGAGGUCAAUAUCAACUUGUUUUAUGAUAUCCUACAUUUCAGAUAUUGACAUUGAAAAUAGAUGAAAAAUAACUUUAUCAAAGUUUUUUCAUUGUUCCUUUAGAAAAAAAAAGAUGGGGCUGACUUCUGCAAAUUUUGGAUACCGUGAUGACCUCAGAAAACCUAGAGGACCUUCCACAACCUUGUGGCAGCUUCAGACUAAGAGUUCUGGAGGCUGAGAAGUCCAAGAUCAAGCUGCUGGCAGAUUCAGUGUCUGAUGAGGGCUCACAUCCUGGUUCAUAGACAUCUUUUCCUGCAUCCUCACACGGCAGAAGAAACAAGGGAAGUCUCCGGGAUGUCUUUUAUAAGGGCAUUAAUUUCAUCCAUGUGGGCUCCACCCUCAUGACCUAAAUACUUCCCAAAGGCCCCAUCACAUUGGGGGUUAAGAUCUUUAAGAUAUGAAUUUGGGGGGGACAUAUUCAG
ensembl:lncRNA